CAAAGGACUAAGAUAAGCCUAAGUGCAUCUCAGCUGAUAACUAAGAACUCGGCUUACUAUUUAAUCACCUCAGCGUCCUGUGUGAGCGAGCACUCACUUUUCAACCCUGCUUGAUGUGAAAGGAAGGAACUGCACUUGCUGGGAGAGGGUUCCUUUAUGGGAAGCAUGGGCCUCACAUUAGCAUGGUGACUUCUGUCUUCCAGUGCUGAGAGUGUGACUGCACCAUAUAAUCCAGUGCUGCCAAUCAGAUCUGAACAAAAGAAAUAGCAGUUGUCUGACUGUGAAUCAUUUCUUCACCUUGAUUAAUGUCCUGACCCUGCAAAGCAAUCUGCCUGCAGGACUCCGCCUGGAUAUAAGGGCCUGUGUUGAUGGAUCUCUUUGCAGAGUUGUGGCCUUAGUCUGCAUUUUUAUUUUUGAAGGAAUCAAAAUGCAUGCCUAUAUUUAGGCACAGUUGGGCUCAGUUAAAAGGUGCAAACAAUAACUCGGCAUUUCCUUUACAGUCACUUCGUACUUUUACAUUAUUUUAAAUGGAGUUUUGGUUUUUUGAUGCUUAACUUUUAAAUAUAAAUUUACCAAAGAACGGAAGGUGAAAAUCCUUGUCCUCAGGUGCACAUCCCUUCCUCUCCCACUGAAAAUGGCCCAGCCCCCUCUGCAGUUGUUGGUCCCUUCCCUCCCUUAACCCAAAUUCCUCUCCCAGCUAUCUGCAACUAAAACAAUGCCAAACGCUCUGACUACUGAUUCCUUGGCUCCUCCCUACUCCCAAUCCUCCUGCAACCAUUCUCAGAAGUCAUUCAAAACGAGGAGAGGGUUUCUGGAAGCAGAGAAGAUGGUGAAGGUCAGAUUCUCAAGAUGGAUUUUCACUCCAGACAAGCAUCCUGUUUGGUCCCAUCUUCCAGCUGCUGGAAUCCCACCCCACUUAAUGAUCUAACAUCCCCUAAAUGCCCACCCUAAAUAUCUCCCUCACCGCUUCAAAACUAACCUAGUGUGUAAGGACCAGAACACAGCUCUGCAGAGCCUGGGAGGGCUGAUAUUCCUGCAGUGCCACCAAGAGGCCAUACAGUAGCACAGCCAGGGAGCACUAUGGAGAGUAGGUAUAACCCACACAUCUCCUGGGUGUGGUGUUCUGUCUUCUCUAGUGGCACCAAGACCACUUAGAGAGAGAGAGAGAUUAAUGAGUCUGCUCUACAGCCUUAGCUAAGGGCCAUGUGGCUUUUAGCUCAUGCAGUAGAGGCUCAUGCACUAAGCUCCAGAGGCCCCAGGUUUGAUUCCACCUGCCGAUGACCAGCGUCUGUCGGUGUUACAUAGGCACCGCAGGAAGUGCCGCCUAAGAAACCCAGAAUGACUGUGUGGCUAAGCACCCUAUUUAACCCCAGGGGUUGACCCAGGAAGUUGUCUGGGCAGUAAUUCAGAUCUUGGGCUGCUGCGAUGCCAAACUUUGCUUGAUAUUCUGGUUUCUGACUCCAGCCUGACUCUGACCCUGAUUCCUGCCUCUUGAGUCUAACCUGGUACUGCCUCUGGCCUCUGAUCUCUGAUGCCAGCCUAACUCUGACCGUUCCACCUCUGAUCUCCGGUCUCUGACCCCACCCCUGACUCUUGCUUAUGGAAGUGGGUUCCUGUAAUUCCUCCAUCUCCUGCCCAGUGACUACCGUCCCUGGAGGGCAGACCUCGGCCCAGCUGUGACCACUAGAUAAGCCUGCCUGUGCCCUGGUCCCUUACACGCAGUUUCCAGGUGUCAUCCACUAGAAUACUGACAGAUUAGUAUGAGUUAAUGUAGAACUGAAAUACAUACUGCACCUAUUAAGCACUACUAUUUUUCAGUGUAUGUGGUUUUGGUUUUAUUUAACUAGGAUGUGAGGAUGGAGAGAGGAGGGCACUUCUACCUGCCUGUCUGAUGAUUUCUCCACUUUUGCCUAAUUUACUUUCCCUAACUCCUAACAGAGAUUGGUUUAAGCCCUGAAGCAUGAAAUGUCAUAUCCCAUCUCAAACUCUAAUUUUUAGUAUUUGCUAUUGUAACUUUGGAUAUUCUUGUUAUCCAUAUAAAACCCAGUCCCACUUUAAAUCUUGCUAGACAUUCAUAAUACUAGUACUACAUAAUACAAAGUACUAGACAUUCAUAAUAAAGAAAAAAAAUCCUCAUUCAAGGACUGGCAGCCAACAGUUGUCUCCCAGUUCUAGGGGACAUUAUCACACCACAAAGGCCACUUUAGGAUCACCUCCUAUAGAAGGUCUACAUCUCAGCAGGCUAGUGGGUCCUCCAAUGGCACCCUCUUUUCCUCAUUCUGCUUUCUCUGUCUCUUGCUUCUUUGUCUUUCUGUUUCAGUCUUUUCUUCUCCUUCAUUUGUCUAUUUUUCCUUCUUUUGUUAACAAGCUCCAAUAUGGCUGUGAUGCUGGCAGAUCAGGUGCCAGCUCAUGCCAAAGCCCCGGGUUAAUUCACUUGUGUAUUAAUAUAGAUCAAAAUAAUUGUUAAAUAUAUAAGAGUAUUUGGUGUUUAACCUUCAUGGAAAAUUAAUGGGAUUUUAUGGGAAAACAAUGCAUGUAUCUGCAUUCUGUUCUAAUGUAAUAGCAAAUAUUUACAUUGUAAAUUCCCCUGUACUAAAUAACUAUCAAACCUAGAAGAAACCU